rnacentral:lncRNA from 1 species
ACCUGAUAUCUUUUUGCAGUGUCAACGCAUGACAGGAUAUCACAACCAUUUUUAGCAGAUGAGCUAAAACUUUCAGGAAGCUGAUAAUGAUUAUUGAUGCUGAGAAAUUUAUUUCAAUCAUUCUGGAUUUGUCAGGUAAUUUUGCCACACUUUUCUUCUUGUACUUCUUCUAGACGGGAAAAUCACCUUUUUUCCUCUUCCUCUCUGAGCAGUAAUUUCACAUUCAAUUUUCAAUUUAUUGCAUCAAACUCAUAAAACUAAUAUCGCUGGAAAAGAAUGCAGUAUAAUAAUAAAUAAUCCCUUGUAGGUGACGAAUGCAAGUCCUAUGACUACAUAUCUACACUUCCUGUGUAAUUCUCUUUAGAUGAAAUUUGGGUGGAAAAAAAAUCAAAAAAUAACAUUAGACAGCAAAAGUGUGAAAUUCUCUUGGUAGGAGAGCAAAACUUCUUAUGUGUAUCUUGUAUGGUUUCUUCCCUUGUUCAAGAUCACAAGACUUGCAAACAAAGUUUUUUUGUUUUCAAUAACCGUGGUGUCUGGGCCAGCUUGCCGCACCUCGACACAAAUAACUUUAAAUCUAUCAUAAGCAAUGUGACUUGAAUCGACCAAGAGAAGAUCUCCAUUUUCUUGAGUGGAGAUUUCUAAAUGAUUAACCUUCUUCAUGUUUGUGACCUUCAUUUGCCAGAAAGUCAGACAUUUUUUUUCGUUCCACCAGAUGUAUAUAAUAGUAGCUCUCGUGUGUUCCAGCAAAUUUUUACGGUCUUCAAUAAUAGUCCUGAAGAUUAAUGUUGUAUGUCCUCCUCUUUGAUAAGCUUGACAACAAGUAGAUAGUUUGUUUCCACCUCUAAUUCUUUAUAACAUAUUUCUUUUGCUGCUUUUGAACCUUGUUUGAUGCUCUAUGGCUUUAUAGCGAGGCUUGAAGUUGGCUUCAUUUUACCUGUAUAACUCAAUAUCCACUUUCCUUGUUCGUCUCUAUAAAUCCUUACAAAUGCAGCAUCUCUAGUUUGAGUCUUGAAAUUGGCAUUACUGGCGAUCUGUAAAUAGGGCAAUGUUUGUAUUAGGAAGUUGGCUAAUAUUGGAAUGUGGUGGCAUGGUGCUAUGCACUCCUUAAUUAAAGCCAUGUCAUGCCCUUUGCCUAGACAUCAUCUCUCAUCAGGUUUAGCUAAAUAAUAUUGGGAAAACAAAAUAAUAAAAGAAAACUUGAGCAGAGGAUUUUUUUUUUUUGAUAACUGUGGUGUCCGGGCCAGCUUGCACGCACCUCGACUAAUUCCACGGGAUACACGCUGCCUCCUCCAGCAACAACAGAUGUUAGGUAACUAUGUCCACCAAGGAUAGAAUAGGUGGGAAGAAAUCACCCAGUGUUUGUCUCUACUGAAAAUUUAACCUGAUACCUCAUGGUGCUCGACCCACAACAUUGACCACUAGGCCACUCCCUUGGAUGCGUGGAGGAAUUGAGAUGCUUUACCCGUAUCUUAUAAUUUUGAGUUGGAUGUUCAAAUUCUUUUGGUCAAAUACAUAGACGGCCCCUUAAAGUUGCUUCAGUUUCCUUUUCUUUUCUUUUUUUUCCUGAUAACAACUUCAGUUUUUAUUUCGACACCUUCACUAAAGUCGAUACUUUAACACUCUAACAUCAUUCAAAGUGUGUCCGUUAAACUCUUUGCAAAGAAAAAAAUUGUGAAAAAGAAAAAAGAAAUGAGAAAGAGAAGAAAGGAAAAGUAUGGAAAAAAGGUUAUAUAAGUGAUUCACGCGCUCAACAAUAACUGAAAGUCACUUUUUGCGCCACGUCAAUCCGAGGUGUUUAAUAGACACACUUGGAAUGGUGUUGGAGUGUUCAACAGGUAUUUUCCCUCUUUUAGGUGUAAAUGUGAAAAUUGGAGCCAACUUUAAAGGGCCGUCUGGAUAUUUGGCCAAUUCCUUUAAAAGAUAGCAAAAUAUGCAAACAUGCAAGAUGCUUGAGUACACAUGAAAAUUAACAUCUUAUUAAGUUCCACUUGAAUAGUUAAAUGUACAUAACAAAAUAUCACAUUUCACAAGCAUGCUGGCAUGUAACUUAUUAGCUCAUAUACACAAAGCAAACAGAGAAGAAGAAAAAGCAGCCAGGAUAGACCAUUCCCUGGAACGUGUGGGGAAGAAGAGAAGUGGCACCAGACGGAACAACAUUCACAGAGGAAGAAUCCGAGGAGGGAUCGUCCUUCUUUGGCUUUGAUGGCUCUGGAGCAGGUGCUGGUGGUAAUGGUUUGACAAAGAAUUUCAAAGGAAGCAGUACCUUAUCCACUUGGUAAAUAGCUAAUUGACUGUCAGUGUAAAUUGUACUGGUCAGACUUGCAUUAACAAUCCCAGUUGUUAUGUUCACUGCUGUCCCGUUUGUGGCUAUAUUGAUGGGGAAUUCACGAUUAGUGGUUCCUCCAGCUUGUGUUUGUACAGGGUUGCUAGCCGUUUGGAACUGUGAUAGGGAGAAAUAUGAGGGGAGGAUAUGGAAUUUAACUAAUUCAGCUUUCCGCUGAUCACUGAAAGAGUUGAGGGUGCCAGUUUUCAGGUUCAAGAAAGCACCAUCCGAUGGAACAAACAUGGUUAUGCUGUUGGAGUUGUUUAGUAAUGAGGUGAUUUCACCCACUUCAUGAGUGAUUUGUAACAACUUGAUGAACGUCGAACAUGAUCCAGCUUUCGCAAGGAUUUUUAUCACGUUUGGCAGACCAGGUGGUCCUGGAGCCGGAGCAGAGGCUACAACUGGGGACAAUAUUGGUGCUGGAGAAGAAGAAAUAGUUGGUGGCGGUGAAGCCGGAGCAGAAGGUUGAGAUGGGGGUAGUGAAGCUGGAGCUGAAGAUUGAGUUGGUGGCAUUGGAGCCAUAGCAGGUGCUUGAGCCAAAAUGCAAGUGAAUUGGAGCAAGAAGAAAAACAAGAAAAGAAAGGGUGAGACUAAGUUGAAGUUCAUUUUUUUUUCCCUUUAUUUCGCUGAAUUCGAAUUUUGUUAGAUGUGGAGGGAGAAGGAGAAAGUGUGCCAGUUAUAUAGUGAGCUGUGGGUUGAUUUCUUGCUUCAAAAUAUUAAAGAAAAAAGAUGUGAUAAUAGGUUUGGGGAUAAAAGUUUGUGGGGUAUUGGGAUGAAAGAAAUAGUUAGGUGAAAAGGUGGUGCAAUUUAUGGUGAGUUGAGAAUAAUAACUUAUGUACUGUUAUAAUGCAGCUUCUAGCUUGCUUAUGAAGGGAAAAACAGCUGGAGAAGUGAACUAAUUCCUUUGUAGAUACCAUUAGCUAGAUCUGUAAAUAUAAUUGUAUGUAUAGCCACUUCAAUCGUGUUCGUCAUUUCUCCAAAAUAUCUUUUUUAUCUGGCAACAUGGUCAACUAGAAAUUUUUAUAUUCACGAUUCUUCAUUAACCCAUAGGUAAAAUGCUCUAGCUUUCCAUUCUCAUGUGAGUCUGGAACGUGAAUUGGCCAUUCAGUUUAUGUUGUGUGAUUUGAGGAGGGUAAAGUAGUUAGGUAAAAAUAUUUCAAGUUUUUCUUUUUUACUUUAUGCGUUUAGGGGCCUACUUACUCUACUAAUCCAUAUUCAUAUUGCGUGGAUGACAGAAAUGCUUUCUUCCAAGAGUAACUCCAUUUUCAGGGCUCGAACUUGAGAUCUCUAGUUAAAGCUAUAAGGAUAUCAUCCAUCCCACCAGACUCGUUGCUGGUAUAUUUCAAGUUGCAUAUAUGCAAUCACAAAAUAAGUAUAGCACAAUCCUAAAUGAUUACUCAUGAAUUUGUGGGACAAGAGGCAAAUUUAGUUGCAACUACACUGGUCACAAUCGAGAAAUUCUUGGUACAGCUGACGAUAAUGUAAUGUAAGGUGAUAAAUGAUAAUCCUUGUAUUUGUUGUGUUCUCUACUAUCUUUUUGCAGUGUCAAUGCAUGACAGGAUAUCACAACCAUUUUUAGCAGAUGAGCUAAAACUAUCAGGAGGAUUAAUAAUGAUUAGUGAUGCUGAGAAAUGUGUCAAUCAUUCUGGAUUUGUAAGGUAAUUAUGCCACACUUUUCUGCUUGUACUUCUUCUAGACAGGAAAAUCACAUUUUUUCCUCUUCUCCUCUGAGCAGUAAUUUCAAAUUCUAUUUUUAGUUUAUCGCAUCAAAUUCAUAAAACUAACUUUUGUAACGAAAAGUUUUUUCAAUUAUGCCUAUAUAAUCACUGGGAAAAAAAUGCAGUAUAAUGCUAAAUGAUCCUUUGUAGGUGACAAACGCGAGUUUUAGGACCACACAUGUAUACUUUCCGUGCAAUUCUUAGAUGAAAUUUGGCUGGAAAACUAUUUUUUACAUUUGACAGAACAAAAGUGGUGAAAUUUAUUGACAGGACAGCAAACUUUAUAUGUGUCACUUAGAUUGUUUCACCCCAAGUUCAAGAUCACAAGACUUGCAAACGACGUUUAUUUGCUUCUUUUUUCUUUUACAUGGGAAAAGAUAACAAAUUACUUUAAAUCUUUCAUUAGCAACGUGACUUGAAUCAAUCAAGAGAAAAAACUCCAUUUUCUUGAGUGGAGCUUUCCAAACGAUCAAACCCUCUUUAUUUCUAUGACCUUCAUUUGCCAGAAAAUGGUCACAUUUAUUCUUCUUCCGCAAGAUGUAUGUAAUAGUAGCCUUCAUGGUUUCCAGCAAAUUUUUAUGAUCUUCAAUAAUAGCCCUAACAAGUGAUACUAUCUGUCCUCUUUGAUAAGCUUGACAACAAGUAGGCAGUUUGUUUCCGCCUUUAAUUCUUUAUACCCAAUUCUUUUUGUUAGUUUUGACCCUUGUUUGAUGCUCCAUAGCUCUAUAGUGAGGCUUGAAGUUGGAUUCGUCUUACCUGAAACCCGAUAUCUACUUCCCUUUGUCUCAAAAAUUCCUUAAGUGCCGCAUGUGCCUUGUUUGAGUCUUGACAUUAGCAUUACAGGCAUUUUGAAAAUAAUGCAAUAUUUGUAUCAGGAAUUAUACUAAUUUUGGAAUGUGGUGGCAUGGUGCUAUGCACUCCUGAUUAAAGCCACUUCCUGUGGCUUUGCCUAGACAUCAUCAUCUCUCGUCAGGUUUAGCUAAAAAAUUAUUGGGAAAACAAAAUAAUAAAAGAAAAUUUAUGCGGAAGAAUUGAGCUGAUAUACCCAUAUCUUAUAGUAAUUCUGAAGUGGAUAUUCAAAUUCUUUUAAAAGAUAACAUAAUAUGCAAUUAAGAUCUUUGAGAAGGACAUAAAUUGCAGUUACAUAAAUUGCCUAUGUGUAAUGUGAGAGCACCCCCUGGACUUAAAACUAUAGUAAAACAUCUGAUGUUUUAGUAUGUUGCGUUUUCUGGUUUUCUUUUCUUUAUGCUUUCAGCUGUCUGUAAAUGAGGAGAACAAUUGGAUAGCUCACGAAAAUUAACAUCUUAUGAAGUUUCACUUGAGCAUACAUAACAAAAUAUAACAAGCAUGCUGGUAUUGCAUGCAACUGAUUAGCUCAUAUACACAGAGAAAACAGAGAAGAAGAAAAAGGAGCCAGGAUAGACCAUUCCCCGGAACAUGUGGGGAAGAAGAGAAGUGGCACCAGAUGGAACAACAUUAACGGAGGAAGAAUCCGAGGAAGGAUCAUCCUUCUGUGGCUUUGAUGGCUCUGGAGCAGGUGCUGGUGGUAAUGGUGGGACAAAGAAUUUCAAAGGAAGCAGUACUUUAUCCACUUGGUAAAUAGCUAAUUGAUUGUCAGUGUAAAUUGUACUGGUCAGACUUGCAUUCACAAUUCCGGUUGUUAUGUUCACUGCUGUCCCAUUUGUGGUUAUGUUGAUGGGGAAUUCACGAUUAGUGGUUCCUCCAGCUUGUGUUGGUACAGGGUUGCUAGCCGUUUGGAACUGCGACAGGGAGAAAUAUGAGGGGAGGAUAUGGAAUUUAACCAAGUCAGCUUUCCGCUGAUCGCUGAAAGAGUUGAGGGUGCCAGUUUUCAG